rnacentral:rRNA from 1 species
GAUGAACGCUGGCGGCGUGCUUAACACAUGCAAGUCGAGCGAAGCAUUUAAGACGAUCUCUUCGGAUUGAGUCUUAUAUGACUGAGCGGCGGACGGGUGAGUAACGCGUGGGUAACCUGCCUCAUACAGGGGGAUAACAGUUAGAAAUGACUGCUAAUACCGCAUAAGCGCACAGGGCUGCAUGGCCUGGUGUGAAAAACUCCGGUGGUAUGAGAUGGACCCGCGUCUGAUUAGCUAGUUGGAGGGGUAACGGCCCACCAAGGCGACGAUCAGUAGCCGGCCUGAGAGGGUGAACGGCCACAUUGGGACUGAGACACGGCCCAGACUCCUACGGGAGGCAGCAGUGGGGAAUAUUGCACAAUGGGGGAAACCCUGAUGCAGCGACGCCGCGUGAAGGAAGAAGUAUCUCGGUAUGUAAACUUCUAUCAGCAGGGAAGAAAAUGACGGUACCUGACUAAGAAGCCCCGGCUAACUACGUGCCAGCAGCCGCGGUAAUACGUAGGGGGCAAGCGUUAUCCG